rnacentral:rRNA from 1 species
GAGUUUGAUCGUGGCUCAGGAUGAACGCUGGCGGCGUGCCUAACACAUGCAAGUCGAACGGGAACCCUUGGAUUCGUCUGGGGGGGAGAGUGGCAAACGGGUGAGUAACGCGUUGGUGACCUGCCCCAAAGAGGGGAAUAACCACUGGAAACGGUGGCUAAUACCCCAUGUGGUCUGUCGGUCGGACGGCAGAUUAAAGCGCCCCAUUAGGGGCUGCGCUUUGGGAGGGGCCUGCGGCCCAUCAGGUAGUUGGUAGGGUAAUGGCCUACCAAGCCGAUGACGGGUAGGGGGCGUGAGAGCGUGAUCCCCCACACUGGCACUGAGACACGGGCCAGACUCCUACGGGAGGCAGCAGUGAGGAAUAUUGCCCAAUGGACGCAAGUCUGAGGCAGCAACGCCGCGUGGGUGAUGAAGGCCUUCGGGUUGUAAAACCCUUUUCUGGGGGACGAGAAAGGACGGUACCUCAGGAAUAAGUCACGGCUAACUACGUGCCAGCCGCCGCGGU